CAUCUUGAAAGAGGAGAGGGCUCAAAUAUUGCUUCGAAAUAUUUCAAAACCAAAGAUGCUAUAGACGAGUGUCUAAAAGCAACAGUUACAGAUGUCGCAUUUGUUUAUGGCAAUGGAAAUCCAAGCAUUUUGAAACAAGAGUGUGUCGCAGUUGCUGAGCAUGUGUCAAGUGUUAUUGAAAAUACUAAAUAUUUACGAAGAAUAACCAUUCUGUUACCGGAUGCCCUCUUGAAAGAAACAGUUGACAAACUUCUUGCUACAAAUUCAUAUCUUCCUGGAUUUUCUAAAUGGACACUGAUAAAAUCAACUGACCUUGAUGUAGCUUACAGGGUGUGUUCUAUGGAAGAGAAAGAUAUACAUAAAGUUGAAUAGUAUGCUAGUUUCGUCAAGCCAGUUUUAGGAUCCGGACCAGAUUACAAUAUAGAUGAAUAUGAUGUUAUUCAACAUGUGGAGACAACUGAAUAUCAGCAUGAGG